UACAGAGGGUGCAAGCGUUAAUCGGAAUUACUGGGCGUAAAGCGCCUGUAGGUGGUGUUAUAAGUUUGAUGUGAAAGCCCUGGGCUUAACCUGGGAAUGGCGUUGAAUACUGUAAGACUAGAGUCGGAUAGAGGGUCGUGGAAUUUCCGGUGUAGCGGUGAAAUGCGUAGAUAUCGGAAGGAACGCCGGUGGCGAAAGCGACGUGCUGGACCUUCUCUGACGCUGAGGCGCGAAAGCCAGGGGAGCAAACGGG
rnacentral:rRNA from 1 species